rnacentral:lncRNA from 1 species
CAAAAGUUAAGCUUUUCUUUUCGUUUCUUUUCUUCGAAAAUUACCAAUGUAUUUACAGGAGAAAACGUGUUGAAAGGGUCGUGCAGCUUACUGCUGUCAACCAUUUAUGUGUUCAAAAUCAUUGUAUUCUACUGAAGGUGCCAUCAAAAUGAAACAGGAUUCAUCAUAAUUGUCUGCUGUUUGUAUCGGACCAAUCCCAGCCAUGCCCCGAUUUUGAGUGUAGACUACUAACUGUUUAAUCAUUUCUAGAUCAUAGACGUCAAGCACAUUGAUAACACAAACUAUAAACAAGAUUUGAUGAGAAUAAGUCAUAUUUUGAAGGAAAAGGAUUACACAGUCAAAAAGGUUCCUUGUUUGCUAACCCGUUGGCUGCUACCCUUCAAUCUCCCUGUUUACUUCCUUACACAGGUACUAUUGAU